rnacentral:misc_RNA from 1 species
GCCGACUCCUGUCUCUAGUAGUCUCCUUUAAAGCUCGCCACACCCAUUAGAAACUCGGCCCUCCUGUUAAUUCACUGUUAAUCAACGUUAUUUCCUUUAACCCUCCAAGAUUUUCAAAAUAAAUAAUCCGUGGUGGUUUUAUAGAUUCGGCAAGAACUUAGAAGAGGCCAAACAAGUAAUCAACUGUCUAUACUAGUAUAUAAUAAAUAAACCAACCCAAGAGAGGCCAAAUGCACAACGACUUGAAACGUCCCUGCAGAGG